rnacentral:tRNA from 1 species
GCCCUUGUAGCUCAUCUGGAAGAGCGCUCGGCUUCUAACCGAGAGGCAGCAGGUUCGAGUCCUGCCAGGGGCG